rnacentral:rRNA from 1 species
UACGGAGGGUGCGAGCGUUGUCCGGAAUCACUGGGCGUAAAGGGCGCGUAGGCGGCCUGAUAAGUAGGGGGUGAAAUCCUGCGGCUUAACCGCAGGGCUGCCUUCUAAACUGUCAGGCUAGAGCACGGUAGAGGCAGAUGGAAUUCCCGGUGUAGCGGUGGAAUGCGUAGAGAUCGGGAAGAACAUCAGUGGCGAAGGCGGUCUGCUGGGCCGUUGCUGACACUGAGGCGCGACAGCGUGGGGAGCAAACAGG